UACGAAGGGGGCUAGCGUUACUCGGAAUUACUGGGCGUAAAGGGCGCGUAGGCGGCGCGAUAAGUCAGGCGUGAAAUUCCCGGGCUCAACUCCGGAAUUGCCUUUAAGACUGCAUCGCUAGAAUUGUGGAGAGGUAAGUGGAAUUCCGAGUGUAGAGGUGAAAUUCGUAGAUAUUCGGAAGAACACCAGUGGCGAAGGCGACACACUGGGCCAUUACUGACGCUGAGGCGCGAAAGCGUGGGGAGCAAACAGG
rnacentral:rRNA from 1 species